rnacentral:misc_RNA from 1 species
GAUGAAGAACGCAGCGAAAUGCGAUAAGUAAUGUGAAUUGCAGAAUUCAGUGAAUCAUCGAAUCUUGAACGCACAUUGCGCCCGCCAGUAUUCUGGCGGGCAUGCCUGUUCGAGCGUCAUUACAACCCUCAGGCCCCCGGGCCUGGCGUUGGGGAUCGGCGGAAGCCCCCUGCGGGCACAACGCCGUCCCCCAAAUACAGUGGCGGUCCCGCCGCAGCUUCCAUUGCGUAGUAGCUAACACCUCGCAACUGGAGAGCGGCGCGGCCACGCCGUAAAACACCCAACUUCUGAAUGUUGACCUCGAAUCAGGUAGGAAUACCCGCUGAACUUAAGCAUAUCAAUAAGCGGAGGA